UCUCCGUAGGUGAACCUGCGGAGGGAUCAUUAACACUUUAAAACAAAAAAACAAAAACAACUCGGUAACCUUAAAAUGUCAGUCGUUGGGAGAUUUGUGGGAGCAGAAGGAAAAUUGAGAAGGAGAUGCUAAGGGGGGGUGAAGUCUUUUGAUUGAUCUCUCUUAACUUCUUUGUCUUGAUGCUUUUCCUGCUGCCUUUUGGUCUUCUAAUAUACCACGUCUGACAGUUUUUAUUCUAUUCACUACUUUUUAGCUUUUAGCUGCCUGUAUGUGUAUGGUAUAAGUAUUUUCUAUACUAUUCGUACUAAUUCUGUCUUUUUUCAUACUCCUUUGAAUUGAUUCCUUUGAUUACGAUGUUCUCUUUGAAUGGUUUGAGAUUGAUGUUGAGUCUUCUUUGUUGAUGUCUGAGAGGACAAAAACCUAUAAAACAUAAGCACAACUCUUAACAAUGGAUAUCUAGGCUCUCGCAUCGAUUAAGAACGCAGC
rnacentral:misc_RNA from 1 species